AGGACUGUAACUCAGCGAUAGAGCAUCUGCUUUGCAUGCAGAAGGUCCCAGGAUCAAUCCCUACUAUCUCUA